CCCGAGACAGGAAUGCAUGUAAGAGUCCGUAGUGUCACAACAAAAGCUCAAAUUUGAAAUCUGGCACCUUCGGUGUCCUAGUUGUAAUUUGAAGAAGGUAACUUUGGAGUUGGCUCUUGUCUAUGUUCCUUGGAACAGGACGUCACAGAAGGUGAGAACACUCCCGACCAAGAGACCCCCAAUUCUAUGUAAGUUGCUUCCAAAAAUUCAAUUUUUUAGGAAAUCCACCUCUGAGGGGGUGGAAAAUUCCAUCUAACCCUAAUUAUGGACAAAAAACCAAAACCAAACAAUUCCAGUGAUGAAAAAAUAAAAAAAAUUUUAAAAAAAAAUUGAAAAAUUUCUUAAAAUUGUUAAAGGGAAAGGCCUUAAAAUCAAACUUGUUUUUUUCCAAUCUUUUCCUUCUUGGUGGGGUUCCCCGCAGCUAACUGGGCCACCACCGUUUUGGAGUGAAGAAUAAUGACAAAGGAUUGUGCUCUCUCUUUCGUUGGAGUGUUAUACUCUUUGGUUGAUACUGCCUGUCAACACAUAGCACUGCCUUUUUUGACCAAGAUGUUGCUCUAAUGAUCUUCAACCCCCCCUCAAAAAAGAACAAAAAAAAANU
rnacentral:rRNA from 1 species